UGCUGUGAAUAAGAGACCUGAGCUCGGAUUAAGACCGCCGCGGCUUGCCUGGACCCACAGCCCGAUGUGCACAUUGGGGAUCCAAGGGGCUCCUGAUGGAAGGCCUACAUGUGAAACACAACCUUAAAAUAUCACACACUUAAGACGGUGCAAGCAACAAGUAAUGCCCCGUGAGUGUACCAAAACACUCAAAAAACAUGCAAUCUGUGCUAUCCACCGUCCUGCUUGCAGGCCGUUUUAUAUGGAUAAAUUGCAGGGGCACAAACAACUGGAGUGUCUUUGAGACCACACGCUCCGCCUCUUAGUCAAUCCAGACAAAUUCUACGAGUUGUGCUGAAGCUUUUACGCUGUAAUUGAGCACAGGAUGCACAGGAAAACCAAAGCCAGCUCUACACAGACCUGCGUUUUUAUAGCUGCUAUAGUAUUCUGCUGCGCCUUUUUUUCCCCCUGACAGACAGACACCACAAAACUGGUCAAGCGUGAUAGGAAGUCGCCACCUACACGGACUCAAAGUCAGCAGCUGAGGAUUUUCAAAGACAUAGAAACAUAUCAUUUCUGUACAUAACUACGGUGACAGAAAUGUCGGCCGACAGCGAUGGCGACGACAGAGGUGCCGGGUGGACCACACAGGGACCAUGCAGGGAAACUGACCAACUCCAUGGUCAACUGGAGCACCUCUGGCAAACCGGCGGAGACUCACGAUGCUGGAUUAGCCUGCAGAGUUUAUCCUGGGAAACGAGGCGUCAGCAGGAGCAGGACAAAAGGACAUAAACUGGACUUCUUUGGAGGAAAUAAAUUACCUUUUGUAAAGUAAAAAUAGAGAUAGAAUGUGAAAGACAGAAAUAAGUCGCAAUUUGUGAUGCAGGGAUACAAACUAGGCUUUUGCAACAGGCUUAGCCUCUUAUCUUAAUUGCGCACUUGCUAUUUGUGGCCUGGGGGAUCGUAGCACAAAACAACAGUCAGAAGUUUAGAAAAUUAAUUUCCACUUUCAUUUCAGUCUUCAAAAUGUGUGCGCAUGCUCAAAAAUUGAAACAUCUAAUACAUUUAAUAAAGUCGGAUUGAGUCUGGUGAUCA